rnacentral:misc_RNA from 1 species
CAUCAACACGGGCACCUACAAUCCA